rnacentral:rRNA from 1 species
UACGUAGGGCGCAAGCGUUGUCCGGAAUUAUUGGGCGUAAAGAGCUCGUAGGUGGUUUGUCGCGUCUGUCGUGAAAGCCCGGGGCUUAACUCCGGGUCUGCGGUGGAUACGGGCAGACUAGAGGCAGGUAGGGGAGAACGGAAUUCCCGGUGUAGCGGUGAAAUGCGUAGAUAUCAAGAGGAACACCUGAGGUGAAGACGGGUUGCUGGGCCGACACUGACGCUGAGUGCGCGAAAGCCAGGGGAGCAAACGGG